GAAAAUAGUAAAAAAGCUUCAUUUAUUGCCAAUGGUUGAACAAAAAGUUAUUGUCUCAUAUAUUUUUUAACCGUUGGCAAUAAAUGAAGCUUUUUUAUUAUUCUCUUGAUUC